rnacentral:rRNA from 1 species
CGGAAGGUGCAAGCGUUGCUCGGAAUCACUGGGCGUAAAGGGUGCGUAGGCGGCUGUGCAAGUCUGGCGUGAAAGCCCCGGGCUCAGCCCGGGAAGUGCGCUCGAAACUGCGCAGCUCGAGUGCCGGAGGGGAGAGUGGAAUUCCUGGUGUAGCGGUGAAAUGCGUAGAUAUCAGGAGGAAUACCGGUGGCGAAAGCGACUCUCUGGACGGCAACUGACGCUGAGGCACGAAAGCGUGGGGAGCAAACAGGAUUAGAUACCCUGGUAGUCCACGCCGUAAACGAUGGGCACUAGGUGUCGGGGGUAUCCACUCCCUCGGUGCCGCCGCUAACGCAUUAAGUGUCCCGCCUGGGAAGUACGGUCGCAAGAUUA